rnacentral:rRNA from 1 species
AGCUCCAAUAGCGUAUAUUAAAGUUGUUGCGGUUAAAAAGCUCGUAGUUGGAUUUCUGCUGAGGACGACCGGUCCGCCCUCUGGGUGAGCAUCUGGCUCGGCCUCGGCAUCUUCUUGGAGAACGUAACUGCACUUGACUGUGUGGUGCGGUACUCAAGACUUUUACUUUGAGGAAAUUAGAGUGUUUCAAGCAGGCGCAUGCCUUGAAUACAUUAGCAUGGAAUAAUGAGAUAGGACCUUGGUUCUAUUUUGUUGGUUUCCGGAACUCGAGGUAAUGAUUAAUAGGGACGGACGGGGGCAUUUGUAUUGCGACGUUAGAGGUGAAAUUCUUAGAUCGUCGCAAGACAAACUACUGCGAAAGCAUUUGCCAAGAAUGUUUUCAUUAAUCAAGAACGAAAGU